UUGAACGCUGGCGGCAUGCCUAACACAUGCAAGUCGAACGCGAAAGGGGGGCAACCCCCGAGUAGAGUGGCGGACGGGUGAGUAAUACGUAGGAAUCUGCCCAAUAGUGGGGGACAACUUAGGGAAACUUAAGCUAAUACCGCAUACGCACUACGGUGGAAAGCAGGGGAUCGCAAGACCUUGCGCUAAAUGGAGGAGCCUACGUCUGAUUAGCUGGUUGGUAGGUAACGGCCUACCAAGGCGACGAUCAGUAGCUG
rnacentral:rRNA from 1 species